rnacentral:rRNA from 1 species
UACAGAGGGGGCAAGCGUUGUCCGGAAUUAUUGGGCGUAAAGAGCUCGUAGGCGGUUGAGUAAGUCGGGUGUGAAAACUCUGGGCUUAACCCAGAGCCGCCACCCGAUACUGCUCUGACUUGAGUUCGGUAGGGGAGCAGGGGAAUUCCUAGUGUAGCGGUGAAAUGCGCAGAUAUUAGGAGGAACACCGGUGGCGAAGGCGCUGCUCUGGGCCGAUACUGACGCUGAGGAGCGGAAAGCGAUGGGUA